ACCUCUGAUAUGGCACCAAGGAUCACUUGCUAUGUGAUCUUACAUGACUAAGAAUGUCUGAUACCCUUUUAAGGAUACAGGGCAACAAACGACAGCAUCAUCGGCAAACAAUCUAAGAUGGGUGCUCAGACUGUCUCCUAAUAAGAAGCAGCAGAGGGCCUGCAACACUACCUUGGAUGUCAGCAUCGGAGCAUCAUGGAAUAAAUAAGAAAGGUGUCCACAUUUAUCUGGCCACCGGACAGAUUGCAGGAUAAACCUCUGAUCUGGACUCUUGCAAUAAAAGUGCUUUAUGAACUUCAGCAGACUUGCUCUCUUGUCAACAGACAUGGUGAAAAUAAUCAUAAACUUCACAAAAAGGCAGAUAUAUAUGACAAUUGUCAAUGAUUUAUGCUUCAAAGCUACAUUUAAAUUACGUAACCCAACUGUUGCUAAAUAGUUCUCAUUUGCAACCUGUUUUAUCAAUUAGAUUUAUAUAUACUUUAGUGAACAAAGCUUUGAAAUCCUUACACUCAUUUUCCUCUAUACAUUUACUCUUUAAUAGUUUUUGUUACUAAGAAUAAAAAACAGUUUCUGUUAAACUAAAAUGUACACAGUCACAAGAUAUUUAUGUUUAAAUUAUUUUCAUGUUGACACUGCCUUCUUGUCUACGGUUUAGAGUGAAGUUAUGUACUCUGAUGUAAAGGUAUUUAGUGAACUCCAAUGUAACAUAAUGCAAAUAAUUAUGUAUCCCAACUAGUUAAAAAAAA